GAUGAACGCUGGCGGCGUGCCUAAUACAUGCAAGUCGAGCGAACGGACGAGAAGCUUGCUUCUCUGAUGUUAGCGGCGGACGGGUGAGUAACACGUGGAUAACCUACCUAUAAGACUGGGAUAACUUCGGGAAACCGGAGCUAAUACCGGAUAAUAUUUUGAACCGCAUGGUUCAAAAGUGAAAGACGGUCUUGCUGUCACUUAUAGAUGGAUCCGCGCUGCAUUAGCUAGUUAGUAAGGUAACGGCUUACCAAGGCAACGAUGCAUAGCCGACCUGAGAGGGUGAUCGGCCACACUGGAACUGAGAAACGGUCCAGACUCCUACGGGAGGCAGCAGUAGGGAAUCUUCCGCAAUGGGCGAAAGCCUGACGGAGCAACGCCGCGUGAGUGAUGAAGGUCUUCGGAUCGUAAAACUCUGUUAUUAGGGAAGAACAUAUGUGUAAGUAACUGUGCACAUCUUGACGGUACCUAAUCAGAAAGCCACGGCUAACUACGUG
rnacentral:rRNA from 1 species